GAGUAAAUCGAAGCCUUGCUUAAAAUUUAAAGAGCUGAAAGUGUAACUAUUAUAAAAAUAAUUUAAAAGAAUAAAUUAAAGUAAAGUUUACUGAAAUGAUAACAAAAGCUAAAGAAGAGAGUACCGUGAGGGAAAGAUGAAAUAAACUGAAAUUUUAAAAUGAGCUAAAGCAAUUAUCAAAAUAUGUACCUCGUGUAUCAGGGAAAACCAAAUUAACGUCUUCUAAGUAAGUAAGUCCCGAAAAAAGAAGAGCUAACGCAACGAAAGUUUGUCGUAUUAAAGACACUUUUAACGUUGCGUUGGUAAUGAAAUGUUAGCCGUUUCUUUGUAUCUGGUUAUGAAUGAAUCAAAUUCAAUUUGGUAAUACACUCUCGCAAGUACUGUAUUGUUAAGAAAAGGAGGAAAAGCUUCUUUUUCUAGAAAUAAUUUAAUAGAGUUUACUACAAAUCAAAGUAUAAAGUGGAUCUAAAAUUAGGCUUAGAAGUAGCCAGAUUAGUAAAGUGUUUCAACUAAUAAAAAAAAUUAUUAAUAUUUGAAUAUUGUAAGACCUGUGUUAUUAAUUCAUGAAUUAAUAAAUCCAACCCUUUAAAUGUUAUAAUGGUAUUAUUAGUAGAUAAUUUAUAGUAUACCGAUUAUAGUUUAACUAAAAUAAUCUUAAAAUUAUAAGAGAUAACCAUUUAAAUAUGUAAUUAAGGAACUCGGCAAAUAUGCAUGUAUAUUACUUUUGCCUGUUUAUCAAAAACAUGUCUAUAUGAAGGUGUAUAAAGUCUGGCCUGCCCACUGACUCUGCAGCGUUUAAAGGGCCGCGGUAUUUUGACCGUGCGAAGGUAGCAUAAUCAUUAGUCUUUUAAUUGAAGGCUCGUAUGAAUGGCCGGACAAAAAGUGAGCUGUCUCCAAUUGUUAAAAUUGAAUUUGACCUUUAAGUGAAAAGGCUUAAAUAAUACAAAGUGACGAUAAGACCCUAUAAAGCUUUAAAGCAAAUUAUUUUUCAGAAUAAAUUAUUAAAUCCAUAUAACUUAAUUUAAAAGAAAGCUUUUUUGUUGGGGCGACAAAAAUAUAAAUAAGUAACUGUUUUUGUAAACAAAAAACAGUGAUAACUGGAGUAUAAAAUGAUCCUUUACUAAAGACUAAAAGGUUAAGUUACUUUAGGGAUAACAGCGUAAUCUUCUUUGAGAGUCCAAAUCGACAAGAAGGGUUGCGACCUCGAUGUUGAAUUAAGGUUCCUUUAUGGUGUAGCAGUUAUAAUAGGAGGUCUGUUCGACCUUUAAAUCCUUACAUGAUUUGAGUUCAGACCGGCGUAAGCCAGGUCGGUUUCUAUCUUUUGUAAAAUGAAAGCUACCUUAGUACGAAAGGAUUAGGUAGCUGAAACAAUUUCUGGUCACGCGGCUAACGUUAACUUAGUGUUGCCUUGGCAGAAUUAUGCACUAGACUUAGGAUCUAAU
rnacentral:rRNA from 1 species